CCUACGGGAGGCUGCAGUGGGGAAUCUUCCGCAAUGGACGAAAGUCUGACGGAGCAACGCCGCGUGAGUGAUGACGGCCUUCGGGUUGUAAAGCUCUGUUAAUCGGGACGAAUGGUUCUUGUGCGAAUAGUGCGAGGAUUUGACGGUACCGGAAUAGAAAGCCACGGCUAACUACGUGCCAGCAGCCGCGGUAAUACGUAGGUGGCAAGCGUUGUCCGGAAUUAUUGGGCGUAAAGCGCGCGCAGGCGGAUUGGUCAGUCUGUCUUAAAAGUUCGGGGCUUAACCCCGUGAUGGGAUGGAAACUACCAAUCUAGAGUAUCGGAGAGGAAAGUGGAAUUCCUAGUGUAGCGGUGAAAUGCGUAGAUAUUAGGAAGAACACCAGUGGCGAAGGCGACUUUCUGGACGAAAACUGACGCUGAGGCGCGAAAGCCAGGGGAGCGAACGGGAUUAGAUACCCGAGUAGUC
rnacentral:rRNA from 1 species